rnacentral:rRNA from 1 species
GACCGGUACAAGCGGGGUAGGUGUACAAUAGGCAAAUCCGUUGUAUGAUCCGAAGACGUGAUGUGGAGCGAAAUAAAGUAGUGAAGCGUGUGAGCCAUGUGCCGAGAAAAGCUGCUAUUGUGUAAUGCGUGCCCGUACCGUAAACCGACACAGGUGGAUGAGGAGAGAAUCCUAAGGCCGACGGAAGAAGCAUUGUUAAGGAAUUCGGCAAAAUGACCCCGUAACUUCGGGAGAAGGGGUGCCUGCGAGAGCAGGCCGCAGAGAAUAGGCUCAAGCAACUGUUUAGCAAAAACACAGGUCUAUGCGAAACCGAAAGGUGAAGUAUAUGGGCUGACGCCUGCCCGGUGCUGGAAGGUUAAGAGGAGAGGUUAGCGUAAGCGAAGCUUUGAAUUUAAGCCCCAGUAAACGGCGGCCGUAACGAUAACGGUCCUAAGGUAGCGAAAUUCCUUGUCGGGUAAGUUCCGACCCGCACGAAAGGCGUAAUGAUUUGAGCACUGUCUCGACAAUGCAUCCGGUGAAAUUGAAGUACCAGUGAAGAUGCUGGUUACCCGCGCCAGGACGGAAAGACCCCAUGGAGCUUUACUCCAGUUUGAUACUGGGAUUCGGUACUGCAUGUACAGGAUAGGUGGGAGACGGAGAAGGAUGGACGCCAGUCUGUCCGGAGUCGCUGUUGGGAUACCACCCCUGUAGUACUGGGUUUCCAACCAGUUGCCAUGAUCUGGUGAUGGGACAAUGUCAGGCGGGGAGUUUGACUGGGGCGGUCGCCUCCGAAAGGGUAUCGGAGGCGCUCAAAGGUUCCCUCAGAAUGGUUGGAAACCAUUUGAAGAGUGCAAAGGCAGAAGGGAGCUUGACUGCGACACCGACGGGUGGAGCAGGUACGAAAGUAGGACUUAGUGAUCCGGUGGUAUAAAGUGGGAUUGCCAUCGCUCAACGGAUAAAAGCUACCCUGGGAUAACAGGCUUAUCACUCCCAAGAGUUCACAUCGACGGAGUGGUUUGGCCCCUAUGUCGGCUCAUCGCAUCCUGGGGCUGUAGCAGGUCCCAAGGGUUGGGCUGUUCGCCCAUUAAAGCGGUACGCGAGCUGGGUUCAGAACGUCGUGAGACAGUUCGGUCCCUAUCCGGCGCGGGCGGAGGAUAUUUGAGAGGAGCUGUCCUUAGUACGAGAGGACCGGGAUGGACGGAUCACUGGUGUAUCUGUUGUCGACCAACGGCAUGGCAGAGUAGCCAAGUCUGGAAGGGAUAAACGCUGAAGGCAUCUAAGCGUGAAGCCCCCCUCAAGAUGAGAUAUCCCUCCUUCGGGAGUAAGACCCCUUGAAGACUACAAGGUAGAUAGGGCAGAGGUGGAAGCAUGGCAACAUGUGGAGCUGACUGUUACUAAUAGGUCGAGGGCUUAAGAA